rnacentral:lncRNA from 1 species
CUUCUCCCCAAUAACAAACUGAUACAGGGCCAGCUUCCCCCAAUAACAACACUGAUACAGGGCCAGCUUCCCCCAAUAACAACACUGAUACAGGGCCAGCUUCCUCCAAUAACAACACUGAUACAGGGCCAGCUUCUACAUUACUUGAAUUUAACCAUCAUCAUCACAUAGAUAGAUUUUUUUCAAAGUGUUGUACCUUGAGCUAUUUAUUCAGCUAGAGAGGAUUGUGAAUAUAUUGGAAAUGACAAUAGAAAUAAUAUAAUAAUAAUAAUGAAUUCUAAUUCCAACCCGAAUAUGAGGAAACAGACAGAACGGUCCUUUUGCCUUGUGAACAGAAGAAUAAUGUCAAUGAAAACAAGCUUAACCUUUUUCUAGUACACUGGGGAUCGGAUAAAACGUUUAUUUUUUAUUUUUUAAACGUUUUAAACGUUUCUGAAGAAGGAUUUGCACGUGGAACAUGAUGUAGUGCCUCUGUUUCCAUUAUGCUUUGAGGAACAUUUCUCAUUCUGCUCUAUUGCUGUUCUCUGUUCAUCCACCCGUCAGAGCAUCGUUGCUCUGUCCAAAAUAGCACCCCCUAUUCCCCUAUAAAGCUCAUUACUUUUGACCAGAGCGCUAUAGGAGCACUAUGGGCCCUGAUAUAAAAAAAAUAAUAAUGAGUGCACUACAUAGGGAAUAGGGUGCCAUUUGGGAUUUCUCCAUCGUCAGGCAGUUUGUCCAGCUAAUCAUCACCUGGUCCUUUUGCCCAGCCGACUAUUAUAUACGUCAUGUCUGUUUGGAGAUGAAUAUGAGUGUAUGAACUUGAGUGGUAUCAUUCACUUUAAUCCAGUGACAAAGAGUUGGCAUAUGCCAUUUCUAAACAUAUUAUCUCUACGGUAUAAAGAUCAUCAGAGGUCUGUACCAAUGGGUCAGAGGUCUGUACCAAUGGGUCAGAGGCCUGUACCAAUGGGUCAAAUAGUUGGCAUAUGCCAUUUCUAAACAUAUUAUCUCUACGGUAUAAAGAUCAUCAGAGGCCUGUACCAAUGGGUCAGAGGCCUGUACCAAUGGGUCAGAGGUCUGUACCAAUGGGUCAGAGGCCUGUACCAAUGGGUCAGAGGCCUGUACCAAUGGGUCAGAGGUCUGUACCAAUGGGUCAGAGGCCUGUACCAAUGGGUCAGAGGUCUGUACCAAUGGGUCAGAGGUCUGUACCAAUGGGUCUUGUUCGAUUGAUUCAAUCAGGAAAAACCAAAUAGUCACUGAAAUCUCACAUACAGUCAUGUAGAAUGUAAAUUAUUAUUAUAUUAAGCUUUUAAUAUUUGAUUUGAUUGCAGUGAGUGGCCGUAUGUUUCUGGUUUUGGUUGUCUCUUUCCCAGUUUACAAUAUUAGGGCAUUACACUUUAUAGAACAUUCUAGACCCUUUACCCCAGAGGAGAUGCUUGGCCUGUUCUAUGUAGACAUGUAGACAGGACAUAAUGUAGACUGGGGGUGCUUCCCAAAUGGCUUCCUGUUUCCUAUAUAGCACACUGCUCUUGACCAGAGCCAUUUGGCGCUGUCUGUCACUCCUAUUUCACUGUCUGUCACUCCUAUUUCACUGUCUGUCACUCCUAUUUCCCUGUCUGUCCACAAACAUCUACUUUACCAUCACCCUGACACUAUCCUAUCCCAACAUCUACUGUACCAUCACCCUGACACUAUCGUAUCCCAACAGCCUUCACAAAGCAGCUUUUAGAUUUAUUACCUAUUGUCUUAAUUAAUUUAAGCUUUUAUAUGUAGUGACUGAUGACAGUCUUGUCAAACUGCACCCAUUAAAGCAAUUUUUAAACUAUUUUAUUUUUCUUUGAGUUAUUUAGCAUUGUGUAUAUAAACAAACAUGUCUGCUGUGAACAGUGUAUUAUGCAGCUCUAUUUAAACACCAUCUUAAAAUGGGUAGUAGUUCAAUCAAUGUCUCUAUUUGAGUGUCGGAGUUGUUAAGCGUCAAAAUGAAAAAGGUUUGUGUACACUAAAACACAUUGUCGAAUGUUAAAUAAAUGUGGACCAUGAUGCAACACUACGAGUCAUGUUGUUUCCCUGUGUGCUGAAGUUUAUAGACCUACCC